rnacentral:rRNA from 1 species
GACGAACGCUGGCGGCGUGCUUAACACAUGCAAGUCGAACGGAAAGGCCCUGCUUGCAGGGUACUCGAGUGGCGAACGGGUGAGUAACACGUGGGUGAUCUGCCCUGCACUUCGGGAUAAGCCUGGGAAACUGGGUCUAAUACCGGAUAGGAGCCAUUUUUAGUGUGAUGGUUGGAAAGUUUUUUCGGUGUAGGAUGAGCUCGCGGCCUAUCAGCUUGUUGGUGGGGUAAUGGCCUACCAAGGCGGCGACGGGUAGCCGGCCUGAGAGGGUGGACGGCCACAUUGGGACUGAGAUACGGCCCAGACUCCUACGGGAGGCAGAAGUGGGGAAUAUUGCACAAUGGGCGCAAGCCUGAUGCAGCGACGCAGCGUGGGGGAUGACGGCCUUCGGGUUGUAAACUCCUUUCGCUAGGGACGAAGCUUUUUGUGACGGUACCUAGAUAAGAAGCACCGGCUAACUACGUG